rnacentral:rRNA from 1 species
UAAGUAAGUGGUGGAAAUUAAACCAAAUGGGAUAUCUUUAGUAAUUGCGAAUGAACAAGGAUAUGCUUAGCUUGACAAAUGGAGCUAUUGGCUUUGAAUUGUAUUGUGGAAAUGUAUUACCAACAGAGGUGCAGGUGCCAGCCUAUUGAAAUAAAGCGUCAAUGAGGGUGAGAAUCCUGUUUGUCAUGUGCAGCCCUUUGUGCACGGUGUAUAUUUGCUGAGUCACACUCCUUGGCAUUGGAAUGCAAAGUGGGUGGUAAGUUUCAUGUAAAGGUAAACAUGCAAUUGAGACUGAUAGCACACAAGUACCAUGAGGGAAAUAUGAAAAGGACUUUGAAAAGAGAAUUAAAUGAGUUUGUAUUUGCUGAACACAAAGUAAACAGACUUGAUUUGCUUGGUGGGAGUGUUGCACUUGCUUGACAAGAGCUUUGGGCUGUGGGUGUAAUGAUUCUUUCUUUGCAUGCCAGUUUCUAUUUGUACAUCUGAUUACCUUUGCACAUGAAUGAUAAGUCUCCUGUGGGGGGUGGAUUGCAUGUGCAUGUAAUGAUUUGUGUUUUGAUAAAUGUGUCUGGUGUAUGUGUGUGUUCCUGUGCUUGGGGAUGCUUCCCUCCUUGGACUUACAAGCCCUGACACACACAUGCUGGCAAAAUGCUUCUGCUUGACCCG